rnacentral:lncRNA from 1 species
UAAGUAAAAAUUGAUAAAUGGCAUAACAUAGCUGAAAAAGGAUCAACAGUAAUACAUUCUAAAACUAGUAGUAUGGAUUUAUAAGCUCUACUGAAAAUACAUUAGAAUCUCAAAAUACAUCAUUGUUUUGCAAUAAAAAUAAUAGUAAUAAUAAAGACACUAGAAGGUGACUUUCAGACUUGCAAGCGGAACAACAGGUAUACCUUGAAGUCUCCACAGCAAUCCCGAAAUUAGCAUACUAAUGACCGGCACACUUAGAGGUACCUAGAUAUGCACAAAAAUAUGCAGAAGCAUAGUAUAAGUACACCACAAAUGGUGCCCAGUAAGUAUCAAAACUAACCGCGCUAAAGUAGUGACGAGUUUUAAGUGAAGACCCUCACUGGAUAAAAUCUGUGCAGAAAACCAAUAUAAAGCUAACAACGGAGAGCAAAACGAUAAAUGGAAAUAGAGAGUAAACAUGUGAUAACAUAAAAAGUUAACCCAAACAAAGUUAAAAUACAAGUGAAUCAAAUAAGGAAAACAAUGGCAGUUCAAAUCCUCAAGUUGUUCCAACACAAGAUUUACAACAAGAAUCACCCCGAGGGACCACACCUCAUAAUCACAAAUCACGAGUCACAAAUCACAAAUCAUCCUAAUAACACCAUGUGAGCUUCACAUUUUAAAGCAUUUUCCCCAAAUAGCUUCACUCGUGUAAGCCCCCUUAUCUCUCCGCAUGUGCCUUACAGUGGAGCAUUCCCCUUACUAGCAACAUGCAUAUAAGCCCAUUUAUCUCGCUGCAACGCAUCAAUUCACACCACCCUUACGCCACCUUAUGCGCAUCUCAUCACAAUACAACAAUCAACUCAUGCCACACGUGGACAUACGCCACCACAUUGCCCGAAUGAUAAUACCAAUGUCACAACAAUACAUAAACCACGUCUUAAUAAUAAUGUAUACAAUAAUUACAAUAGAAACACAAUAAAACGGAGAAAAAGUCAACAAUCAAAUCUGUUCCAUAUAAAAACAACUUCAAUUCAAUGCAAAUUAAUAGCCAAAGAAUCUAACCCGAUCAAUCUCCACACAUAAGCCCAUAUACACACUCGUCACCUCAUGUACACAUCUUUUCAUAUAGUACAAAUAAUACAAUUAGACCAAAUCAUAAGUGAAAGUUUCCCCCACACAAAGUUAAGAAAGAUAUUUACCUCAAUUAGGCCAAUUCAACACUCAAAAACAGCUUUUCCCUUAACGUUCACCUCAACUCGGCUCAAAUCUAACCAAAAAGACUUAAUGAUAUCAAACAAUGAAAUAGAAAACCAAUUUCAAUUAAUAAAAUUAAGAUGUUUACACAAUUUUUCAAAAUUCAACCUUGGGUCCGCCAGGUCAAACCCCGAGUUAAAAGGUAGAUCGCGACUACCCAUAAACCUACAAGUUCAUAUAUGUAUUUUAUUUUCAAAUCUGAGUCCAAUUCGACUCUCAAAUCUCAAAUUUUUAUUUUUCAAAAAUAGACAAAAAUUCCCUGCAAUUCUCAUGAUAUAGAUGUUAAAUCACAUAAACAAUCAUGUUAUAUAAUAAAAAAUGGAUCAAAAGCAUUAACCUCAUAGUUGUGUAUGAAAAUCUCCUCCUAAAAUGGCCUCUUACCGAGUCCGGGACUUAAAUAUGUGAUAAAUGAGACUAAGUCCCGAAAUCCCAACCUUUUGUUCAGCGGCGGAAGAUGCAAAUGCGGAAAAUCCAUUGCAAAUACAGUGUUUGUUGAUCCCAGAAAAUGUCACAAAUGCGACGUCAAGCCCCUUCGCAAAAGCGAUCGUGUCCAGGAGCCCCAAUCGCAAAUGCGAUGCAAAGUUGGCAAAUGCGAAUACUGCAGCCCCAAGCCCACCUUGCAAAUGCGCUUCCCACCCUACAAAUACGCUUCAUAUCUUGCAAAUGUGCUUCCCACCUUGCAAAUGUGAACAAGAUCUCGCAUUUUCAAGACCUGCAACAUCUUUCCAGCACCAGCAAAAUCCACAACAAACAUCCACACAAGUCUAAAAAUAUCAUACGAACUCAUUCUCGCUCUCAAAAUACCAAAAUAAUAUCCGAAAUCACGAAUUAGAUACCAAAACACAUGAAAAUUUACAAUGAAACUCGGGAAUCAUUAGUAUCACAACCAAGCGUUCGAUUCCUAUCAAACCAACUCGAAAUGACACCAAACUUUGCAAUACAAGUUCCAACAAAACGGACCCAUUUUAAGUCUCAAAACCAAACUUUGUGUCUGAUAUACAAGAAGUAAACCUACAGUCAAACUUAGGAAAUUUUUAAACCUUCAAAUAGCCAACUUUCGGCAAAACAAGCCAAAUCAACUAGGACCCUCUGAAUCCAACUUUGGGCAUAUGCCUAAGUCCAAAAUCAUUAUACGAACCUAUUGGAACCAUCAAAUUGCCAUUCCGGGGUUGUUUUUACAAAAUUCAAACCUUCAUUAACAUUUCUAGCUUAAACUUCUAAUCUAAUAAACAAUCGACCCAAAUCAUUCCAAAAACAACCCCGAAACGAAACCGACCAUCUUUGCAAGUCAUAAAACCACCAAUGCAUAUAUGGGAAGCUUCAAACGGGAAAACGGGGCUCAACUACAAAAAACGACCAAUUGAGUCAUUACAAUCCUGACUACCCAUAAUCCCACGAGUACAAAGAUAUGAUUAGAUCCCAAAGCAAAGUCCAAAUCGACUCCCAAAUCUCCAAUUUUUAUUUUCUAAAAUCAUAGUAAAAAACCCCCCCAAAUUUCUCAUUCAUGUGCCAUAAUCUAGGUGUAAUAAUACAUGGGACAACAAGAUAUUAUAUUAAAAUCAAGUAUAAAUCACUUACCCUCUUGCAUUGUCUGAACAUCCUCUUCAAACAUUGCCCAUCUCUAAGUUUAGGGUUCAAAAUAUGAAAAAAUGGGCUAAAAUCUUAAAAUAAGUCAUUUAUAAGUUUUGCCUAGGAGUUCUCUUCGCGAACGCAGCAUGUGCCUCGCGUUCACAAAGCACAACAUGCAACAAUUCAAAAUAACCCUUCACAAAUGCAGCUUCCCCCUUGGAACGUGAUGCACGGUUACCCUAGACCUACGCAAACACGAGCCUCCACCUACGAUCACAAAAGCCAAGCCCAGCCAAUACCCAACCUUCCUUAAAGAUACACGAACAUGACCACCAAGGCAUGAACGCGAAGGCCAAUCUGCCACAACACACCGUGAACAGACAUCCCAGUCACGAAUGCGAAGAAUAAACCUGCCUAGCACCAAAUAUGCUCCGCGAUCGUGAAGAAAGACCUGACACUAGCAAAAUUUUACAAUUCCAACAAUGCUCCGGGUGGUCCAAAAAUCAUCCGAGCCACCUGGGACCCUGUCCAAUCACACCAACAAGUCUAUAAACACUACUCGGACCUAUUCAAAGCCUCCAAACACAUACAAUAACAUAACAUCAACGAGUCAAAGACAAAAAAAAUAGUUGAACUUCUCUUAAGGUCAAGAACUUUAAAACUUCAAACCAAGCAUCAGAUUUAAGCCUAGCAAAUCCGAUAACAACCAAACUUUGCACACAAGUCCCAUAUGAGAAGUAUAACAUGAAAAAGUUUCAUUAAUUAUGUCUAUGUGUUGUACAAUGACCUAUUUAUAUACAGUAAUGACAUAAUAAUAGGUAUUUACUUCCCAAUGCGGGACACUAUACAUUACUAACUAUUUAACACUCCCCCUCAAGAAAGUGCAUAUAAAUCAUAUGUACCGAGCUUGUUAUAGAUUUAACUAAUACGAAAAUGAGUAAGAGACUUAGUGAAAAUAUCUGCAAGUUGAUCAUUUGACUUUACAAACUUUGUAACAAUAUCUCCUAAGAGUAUCUUUUCUUUGACAAAGUGACAGUCGAUCUCAAUGCGUUUAGUCCUCUCAUGGGACAUCGUAUUUGACGUAAUAUAUAGAGCAACUUGAUUAUCAUACACGAGUUCCAUCUUGCUGAUUUCUCCGAACUUUGACUUCUUGAGCAACUACUUGACCCGAAUACCGUAGUCAUGUCCUCAUACUCUGCUUCUAUGCUAGAUCGAGUAACUAUAUUUUGUUUCUUGCUAUUCCAAGAGACUAAACUACCUCCUACUAAAACACAAUAUCUAGACAUAGAAUGUCUAUCAGAAGGUGAUCCGGCCCAAUCAGCAUCUAUGUACCCAACAAUCUAUUUGUGGCCUUGAUCCUCAAAUAGUAAUCCUUUCCUUGGAGCUGGCUAAUGACUUACGCAAUCUGCAGACAAGACCACUAAACUCCACCUUGAGCAACAAAAUCUGGUGGUUUCUCUAUAUAAACUUCUUCCUCAAGAUCACCGUAGAGAAAAGCAUUCUUAAUGUCUAACUUAUAAUGAGGCCAAUGACGAGUAGCAGCCAUGGACAAAAAGAGCCGAACAGAUGCUACAUUAGCCACGGGAGAGAGAAAGUGUCUCUAUAAUCAAGCCCACAUAUCUGAGUGUAUUCUGUUGCAAUAAGACGAGACUUAAGCCGAUUAACCUAGCCAUCCAUGCUGGAUGUGAUUGUAUAAACCCAAUGACAACCAACAGUAGGCUUACUAGAAGGAAGAGGAAUAAGCUCCCAAGUAUCACUCACAUAUAAAGCAGACAUCUUGUCAAACACAGCCUACCACCAUCCUGGAUGAGAUAGUGCUUCACCUGUAGACUUAGGGAUGGAAACACUGGAUAAAGAUGAUACAAAAGCAUAAUGAGGUGAUAAUAGGUAAUGAUAACUAAAAUUAACAUAAUGGGAAUUAGGAUUAAGUACAGAUCGUACACCUUUUUGGAGUGCAAUUGGUGGACUAGGAGGAGACGAGUCCGCAAUAUAUGCAGAAUAUGACACAAGACAUAAAUCAUAGGGGCCUGAUGAUGGAUGUGGACGAUGAUGAUAAGUCAAGAGUGGUGGCCUUAUGGCUGGGGGAUAUAGGAGGAGCAAAUGUAGACUCCUUAAAAAUCUAUAUAGGAAAUAGUAGUUGUGGUGGUGCUGUGGAAGUGGAUUCUUCACAAUUAGGUACAAGUAUGACCUCAGAUUUAUUAAGAAGAUCAAAAGAAGUAAAAUAAGGUUGAGACUUAAAAAAUGUGACAUCGGAUGACAUAAGUUACCUACGAAGAUCAGGUGAGUAGCAGCGAUACCCCUUUUGAACGUAGAUUAACCAAAGAAGACACACUUAAUAGCACGGGGAGCUAACCUAUCUUUUCUAGGAUCUAUGUUGUGAACAAAACAUAUACUCCCAAAAACACGAGGAGAAAGAGAGUGUAAGGGUGACUUAGGGAAAAACACUAAAUGUGGAAUUUGUAUUUGGAUAGCAGAUGAAGGCAUUUAAUUAAUCAAGUAACAAGCUGUAAAAACUGCAUCGCCUAAAAAAGGUAGUAGAACAUAGGAUUGAAUGAGAAGUGUGCGAGUAGUUUCAAAGAGAUGCCUAUUGUUUUUCUCUGCUACCCCAUUCUGCUGAGGGGUAUAUUUAUGGAUAAGUCCGUGAGAGGUCAUAAACUAUUGAAACUGAGAGGAUAAGUAUUCUAAAGCAUUAUCACUAUGAAAAGUGCGAAUAGAAAUAGAAAAUUGAUUUUUAAUUUUAACACAAAAGUUCUGGAAGAUAGAUAACAACUCAUAAUGACUAUUCAUUAGGAAAAUCCAAGUACAUAUUGAGUAAUCAUCAAUGAAACUAACAAAAUAACGAAAUCUUAAGGUUGAACUAACUUUACUAGGACCCCAUAUAUCAGAAUGAACUAAAGAGAAAAUAAACUCUAAGAGAUUCUCAGUACUACGUGAAAAGGUGGCUCGGGUAUGUUUACCAAGUUGACACGACUCACAAUCUAAUGUAGACAAACUAGAUAAUUAGGCACCAUAUUCUAAAGCUUGGAUAAACUCAGAUGUCCUGAGCGUUCGUAAAUUAGGUUUGGAGGAUAUGUUACUGGAUAAGUUAUGAAGGGAUACAGUGAGUUAAGGUAGUAAAUGCCCUGUGAUUCAGGCUUGUGCCAAUCGCCUGCCCCGUACUGCGAUCCUGCAUAAUAAAAGAAUCAUCAAAAAAUAUAUACCACAAUGAAGGGAACGAGUCAAACGACUAAUAGAUGCAAGACUAAAAGGACAGCCAAAGAUAUAAAGCAUGGAAUCUAGAGUGACAGAAGAUGAGGGAUUAGCUUGUCCAAUUCCUUUUGCUUUAGUUUGAAACCCAUUGGCUAAAGUAAUAGUAGGAAGACGGUGAAUACACAAAAUUUGACAAAAGUGAUUUAUUACCAAAGAUAUGAUCAGAAGAUCUUGAGUGCAUAACCCACGAUCCAAGAGUACUAGACUGAGAAACACUAUCACAAGAAUUACUAGCAAAAAGAGUAUCACUCUGGGCAACUGAGGCUACUUGUGGAGAUGUCUGCUUACUUCCUCGAUAUCGAAGGAACUCAUUAUAUUCCCCUAUAGAUAAAGAAAAUCCCUGAUUAUAUUGUAGUCUUAGUUUGAGCAAUAUGAGCGUUUCUAGGUAGUGGACCAUGUAAAGGAUAGCACACUUCACGAGUGUAUCCAUGUUUAUUACAAUAAGAACACUUGGGUCGAGAUCUACCAAAAUGAUCUCCUCCUUGUCGAUUCUCUAUAGCCUGAGAUGUCCGAUUUUCCAUUGUCUGAGAUGCCAGAAUAGAGGAAUCAACAGUUGGUGGUGAGACCACUAUGUGACUAGGUGGCACAACAAGACAAAUCAAUCAAGAUAAUAGUUCAUCAACUAUAGGGAUCGAAGUACUAGCCAAAAUAUUGUCUCGCACUAAGUUAAGCUCGUUAGGCAGUCCAGCAAGUGUAAGAACUAGAAACACCUUUUGUCGUUGCUCUUAUUGUUUUCAACACUAUCAGUGACUGGCAUCAACUUCUCAAAUUCCUCCAUAACUGCAUGCACCUGUCCCAAGUAGGUAGACAUAUCCAAUUCCUAUUUCUUUAAGUUUGUCAUCCGAGAUAUCACAUCUGUCAUGACCCAAGUUCGCCCUCCGUGAACUGUCGUGAUGGAACCUAGUCUCUACGACAAGGUAAUCCUAACAAUUUCGAAAAAAGAAACAAAAUGCAUAAAAAAGAAUAAAAACUGAAGAUAAGCAAAUAUAGAAGCGUUUAAGAUGUUGCUCGACAUAUACNNNNNNNNNNNNNNNNNNNAAGUGUCUAACUCCAAAAUGUCUAAACAAAAGUAAAUACAGAAGAGACAAUACUGUAAGAGAGAAUGGAAAGGGACUUUUUGGUCUGCGGACGCGGCAGAUAUACCUUGAAGUCUCUAGAGAAUCGCCUCGCCUCAAGGGCAGUAGGGCUGAGUCGAAGUACCUUGAUCUACACAUAAAAAAACAUGUGCAGAAAGGGCAUGAGUACACCACAGCUGUACUCAGUAAGUGCCAAGCCUAACCUUGGUCGAGGAGUGACGAGGAAGGUCAGGGCCCUACUAAUUAUAGUUGAAAAAUGAGGUAAAAUAGUAUAUAAUACGACAAUAUAAUUAAUGCUAACAAUAUGAAGUAACACAGGAUAAUAAGAAUAACAACAACUAUAACAGAGACAAAAUAAUCACAUAAGGAAUACAGCUUAACACAGAGAUAACAACCGAGGAUCUCCCAGGAUACUGUCCUGUAGUCCCCAAAUGUAAAUAUCUAGUGGAUCUCCCCGAUGUCGUCCCGUAAUCCAGCUCAUAGUGCGCGGGGAUCUACCGAAAUCCCAAUCCGUAGUCCCAAAUGUAAAUACCCAGUACUGGGGGAAUCUACUAGGUGUAAUCCCGUAGUUCCAAUAUAAUGUGCAGGGAAAUCUACCAGAAUACAAAUCCGUAGUCCCAAAGUAAACAUGCAGGGAGAUCUCCCGGGAUACUAUCUCGUAGUCCCAAAGUAAACACACAGCAGCAACACGGAGAAUAUUCAAUUCAAUCCGAAUUUCAUACAAGGGCAAACAGGUAUUUCUAACCUAGCAUCCUGCACAAAAUUCAAAUAAAGUAAUUUGAGCAAGUAAAGCAAUUAAUUCAAUUAGACAUGCCUCCCUAAGCUAAUAGUGCGCUUAAAUUGCAAGUAGUAUAAAUAGGAAAGGAAACACAGGUAUAGUUACUUAAUGAAAAUAGGAUUUUCAACAACUAGCACAAGUAUGCACUCGUCACCUCAUGUACAAUGUAAAUAUAACUUUAAGUAACUAAUUCCACUAAUUAAUUUGAAGCUAACACGCAAAAUUAAGAAAAUUACCCAAAAAGUCCCGCGGUCCCACAUCUCGGAAUUGGGUAAAAGUUUCGGAUUAUGAAUCCUCAUUCACUCAUGAGUUUAAUCAUACCAUUAUUAUCCAAAUCUGAUGUCAAAUCCCCAAUCAAAACUCGAAAAUUAGGUCUAAGAACUUUUCCAAUUUUUUCCCUUAAUUUCUCACCCCAAAUCCGAAAUUAGAUGAUCAAUUCAUAUUUAGAUUAAUGGGUUAUAAGCAAAAAGGAGUUAAGAAUCAUUACCCGCAAACUCCCUCCGAAAAUCUCUCCAAAAUUCGUCUCCUACCGAGAUCCCAAUUCAAUUUUGUGAUAUGAACUCAAAUCCCUCGAUUUUGAACUUUAUGUUCUGCCCAGACGCGUCCUUAAUCGCAAUCGCGGAAACUCCCACGCGAUGGCGAAGAGCAACUUCACUAACCCCCAAAUUAAUCAUACGCAAACACAAUAAACACUACAUGGUCGCGAUGUUGCACUGCUCAUCUCAAUGCGAUCGCGGUUGACCUCACGCGAUCGCGAAGAGCAAUCUUCCACUCCUCAACUGCCUCACUUCUUCCUCUUUGCGAACGCGGCGUAGCCUACGCGUUCGCAAUUCAACUUCUGUCAAUACUACGUGUUCGCACUCCCUUUCCCGCGAUCGCGUAGAACAAAAAUCCCAUCUGCCUCAUCUAAUCCUUCGCGAUCGCGAGCCUCCUCACGCGAUCGCGAUGUAGAAAAGUUUGCAACAAAUACCAGCAAAAUCUGAUCCUUGUCCAAGUCCAAAAAUGGGUCGUUGAGCAUCCAAAACACACCCGAGGCCCCCGUCACUUCAACCAAACAUGCCAACCAAUCCUAAAACAACAUUCAAACUUGUUCCAACCUUCGGAAUGUUCAAAACAACAUCUAAAUACCAAUUUAACAUCGGAUUCAAGCCUAAGAACUCCAAAAACUCUCAAAUUACGCUUUGGAUCAAAAAGUCUAUCAAACCUCGUUCGAAUGACUUGAAAUUUUGCAAACACAUCACAUUCAACACUAGGGAGCUACUCCAUUUUUCGGAAUUCCAUUCCGACCCCGAUAUCAAAAUGUCACCAUCAAACCGGAAACUUAAAAAAUUCAUCUUUCAGCAUAUCAAGCCUAAAUAAGCUACGGACCUCUAAAACAAAAUCCAAACACCCCUAAGUUUGAAAUCACCCAACGGAGCUAACGAAACUGACGGAAUUCCAUUCCGAGGUCGUCUUCAUACUGCUUCGACUACGGUCCAAAUUUCUAAAGCUUAAGCUCUCCUUUAGGGACUAAGUGUCCCAAAACACUCCGAAACGCAAAACAAAUCAUCCCAACAAAUCACAAUAGAAGAAACAAACACUGGGAAAAUAGUUAAUAGGGGAUCGGGGCAUUAAUUCUUAAAAUGAUCGGCCGGGUCGUUAUAUCCUCCUAUACUUAAACAUUCUUUCAUCCUCGAGCGAGCAUAGAGACAUACCUGAAGUAGUGAAAAGAUGAGGGCAACAGCUGCACAUAUCCUGCUCGGUCUCCCAGGUCACCUUCUCGACCGGCUGACCCCGCCACUGAACCUUCACUAAUGCAAUGUUCUUUGACCUCAACUUUCAAACCUGCAUAUCCAAUAUCGCCACUGGCUCCUGAAAAUAAGAUAGAUCCUUGUCCCAAUGGACUGAACUAAAAUCAAACACGUGCGACAAAUCACUGUGAUACCUCCGGAGCAUCGAAACAUGAAAUACCGGAUGAAUUCCUGCCAGGCUGGGAGGUAAGGCAAGCUCAUUAGCAACCUUCCCAACACGUCUUAAUAUCUCAAAAGGACCAAUAAACCUCGGACUCAAUUUCCCUUUCUUCCCAAAUCUCAUAACACCCUUCAUAGGCAAAACCCGAAGCAGAACCCGCUCUCCAACCAUAUAGGAAACAUCACGAACCUUCUGGUUUGCGUAACUCUUCUGUAUGGACUGGGUUGUACGGAGUCUAUCCUGGAUUACCUUAACCUUCUCCAAAGCGUCCUGAACCAAGUCUGUGCCCAAUAAUAUAGCCUUACCCGGCUCAAAUCAACCCAUCGGGGAUCUACACUGCCUACCAUACAAGGCCUCAUACGGUUCAAUCUUAAUGCUGGAUUGAUAGCUGUUAUUGUAGGCAAACUCCGCCAGUGGCAAGAACUGAUCCCAAGAACCUCCGAACUCCAUCACACACGCACGGAGCAUAUCCUCAAGAAUCUGAAUAGUGCACUCGGACUAUCCGUUCAUCUGGGGGUAAAAUGUUGUGCUCAAUUCCACCCGAGUACCUAACUCAUGUUGUACUACCCUCUAGAACCGUGAUGUGAACUGAGUACCUCUAUCUAAAAUGAUGGAAACUGGAAUACCAUGUAGAUGAACAAUCUCCUGGAUAUAAAUCUCCGCCAAUUACUCCGGAGAAUAGGUAUUACACACAGAAAUGAAGUGCGUGGACGUGGUCAGCCGAUCCAUAAUCACCUAAAUGGCAUUGAACUUUCUCAAAGUCCGUGAGAGCCUAACACGAAGUCCAUGGUGAUCCACUCCCACUUCCACUCCGGAAUCUCUAUCUGCUGAAGCAACCCACCCGGUCCUGGUGCUCGUACUUCACCUGCUAACAAUUGAGGCACCGAGCUACAAACCUAGCUAUAUCUUUCUUCAUCUGCCUCAACUAAUAGUGCUACCUCAAAUCCUGGUACAUCUUCGCGGCACCCGGAUGAAUGGAAUACCGCGAACUAUGGGCCUCCUCUAGAAUCAACUCCCGAAGCCCAUCAACAUUGGGUACACAAAUCUGACCUUGCAUCCUCAAUACCCUGUCAUCACCAAUAGUCACAUCUCCGGCAUCGUCAUGCAUGACCUUGUCCUUGAGGAAAAGCAAAUGAGGGUCAUCAAGCUGACGCUUUUUGAUACGAUCAAAUAAGGAAGACCGAGAAAUCACGCAAGCUAAAACCCGACUGGGCUCCGAAAGAUCAAUCUCACAAACUGGCUGGCUAAGGCUUGAACACCCAUCGCCAUGGGUCUCUCUGCUGCUGGUAAAUAAGCCAAACUCCCCAAACUCUUCGCCCGGAGACUCAAAGCAUCGGCCACCACAUUGGCCUUGACCGGGUGAUACAAAAUAGUGAUAUCGUACUCUUUCAACAACUCUAACCACCUCCUCUAAUCCAAAUUAAGGUCCUUCUACUUGAACAGAUGCUGGAAACUCCGGUGAUUAGUAUAAAUCUCACAAGGCAGCUCGUACAAAUAAUGACGCCAGAUCUUCAAGGCGUGAACAAUAGCAGCUAACUUGAGAUCAUGGACAGGAUAAUUCUUCUCAUGUACCUUAAAAUUGUCUGAACACGUAGGCAAUCACCCUACCGUCCUACAUCAAUACCGCUCCAAGGCCAAUCCUCCAAGCAUCACAAUAGACGGUAUAAGACCCCGAACCUGUAGGUAAUAUCAAAAUUGGGGUUGUAGUCAAAGCUAUCUUAAGCUUCUGAAAUCUCGCCUCACACUCUUUCUUCCACUAGAACGGAGCACCCUUCUAGGUUAGUCUGGUCAUAGGUGCUGCAAUAGAUGAAAACCCCUUAACAAAUCGACGGUAAUGACCCGCCAAGCCAAGAAAAUUGCGGACCUCUAUAGCUGAGAAUGGUCUGGGCCAACUCUUCAUUGCUUCCACUUUCUUCGGGUCCACCUUUAUCCCCUCACUGGACACCACGUGACACAAGAAUGCCAUAGAAUCCAACCAAAACUCACAUUUCGAGAACUUUGCAUAUAACUUCUUUUCCCUCAAAGUCUGAAGCAUUGUCCUUAGGUGUUGCUCAUGAUCUUCCCAACUCCAGGAGUAUACCAGAAUAUCAUCAAUGAAGACAAUGACGAACGAGUCAAGAUAUGGCCGGAACACACUAUGCAUCAAAUGCAUGAAGGUUGCUAGGGCAUUAGUCAGCCCAAAUGACAUAACAAGGAACUCGUAAUGACCAUACCGAGUCCUGAAAGCAGUCUUCGGGAUAUCUGGCUCCCGAAUCUUCAACUAAUGGUAACCUAAACGUAAGUCAAUAUUNNNNNNNNNNNNNNNNNNNNNNNNNNNNNNNNNNNNNNNNNNNNNNNNNNNNNNNNNNNNNNNNNNNNNNNNNNNNNNNNNNNNNNNNNNNNNNNNNNNNNNNNNNNNNNNNNNNNNNNNNNNNNNNNNNNNNNNNNNNNNNNNNNNNNNNNNNNNNNNNNNNNNNNNNNNNNNNNNNNNNNNNNNNNNNNNNNNNNNNNNNNNNNNNNNNNNNNNNNNNNNNNNNNNNNNNNNNNNNNNNNNNNNNNNNNNNNNNNNNNNNNNNNNNNNNNNNNNNNNNNNNNNNNNNNNNNNNNNNNNNNNNNNNNNNNNNNNNNNNNNNNNNNNNNNNNNNNNNNNNNNNNNNNNNNNNNNNNNNNNNNNNNNNNNNNNNNNNNNNNNNNNNNNNNNNNNNNNNNNNNNNNNNNNNNNNNNNNNNNNNNNNNNNNNNNNNNNNNNNNNNNNNNNNNNNNNNNNNNNNNNNNNNNNNNNNNNNNNNNNNNNNNNNNNNNNNNNNNNNNNNNNNNNNNNNNNNNNNNNNNNNNNNNNNNNNNNNNNNNNNNNNNNNNNNNNNNNNNNNNNNNNNNNNNNNNNNNNNNNNNNNNNNNNNNNNNNNNNNNNNNNNNNNNNNNNNNNNNNNNNGGCCUGGCCUCCCCCUCUAGGGUAACCUCUACCUCCUCGACCUCUACCUCUAGUUGGCUGAGUAGGUGGGGUAGAAACUGGAGCUGUAACCAUAGCCUGAGAACUCUGCGGGGCACGUUGUGUCUUAGAAGUCUGUAGAGAUGCACCCCUCCUAAGUUUGGGGCAAUCCCUCACCAUAUGGCAGGUGUCACCACAUUCAAAACAAGCUCUGGGAGGAUAUUGUGGCUGUGACUAGGUCGGGCCAGAUCUGCUGGACUGACCACUGAAAGCACCCCGUGCAGGAGGCGCACUAGAUACUGGAGGUACAUAAUAAGGCUUUUGAGGCCUAGGAAGAGCUGGAAUACCUCUGGCUACUGAAAGAGCUGAAUGAACAACGCGACUCGUAUAACCCCUACCAUGAUGAACUGUAGCUGGAGCACCAGAAUAAUGGCCCGACUCUCGAGACCUCUUGGCAUCCCUCUCCUCUCUAUCCCUAGUAUGCAUACCCUCCACUCUCCUAGCAAUUCUCACCACUUGCUGAUAAGAAAUAUGCAUCUCCAACUCACGAGCCAUGCUAGACCUGAUGCUAGGAAUGAGCCCCUCAAUAAACUGGCAAACCCUCUCAUGAAUAGUAGAAACCAAAGCUGGUGCAUGUCCAGCCAAGCUAGUGAAAUGGACAGCAUACUCUGAGACAGUCGUAGAACCCUGGCGCAAACACUAAAACUCUAUGCGCCAUGCGUCCAUGAGGCUCUAAGGAACAUACUCUCUCAGGAACAUAUCUGAAAAUUGAGUCCAAGUUAGGGAAGCUACCUCACCCGGAUUGUCUAACUCAUAGGUACGCUACCACUCAUAAGCGGCUCCUCGAAGCUGGAAGGUAGUGAAGGAAACCCCGUUCGAUCCGGAUAUACCCAUGGUAUAGAGGAUACGGUAGCACUCAUCUAGAAAUUCUAGAGCAUCAUCUGAUGCUAGACCACUGAAUAACAGAGGCUUGUACUUCUUAAACCUCUCAAGCCUCAACUGCUCAUCCUUGGAAGUCGUUGCCCUGUCCUCGGGCUGAUCUGCGACUGCAGGCUGUAUAGGAAUAAUCUCUGAUACCUGAUCAACAUGCACUCACUGCUCAGGAGUGCAGGCAGCGAGAGUCUGGGCUCCUUCCCCGGCCUGAGAUGUAGCUGCUGCAAGGGGAAGCAACCCUGCCUGAGCCAGAAUGGUGUACAUGCUCAUGAACUGUGCAAAAGUCUCCUGGAGUGCUGGAGUAGUAGUAGCAGUAGGCGUAUCAGGUGCAUGGACUCCAGAUGGAACUGUAGGUGGCACCUCGGUGGCAGCUCGCGCGGGUGCUCUGGCUGCACCACGCACGUGUCCUUGGCCUCUACAUCAGCCCCGACCUCUGACGGCUCUAGUAGGGGGCGCGGGUGCCUGAUCAUCUCUAAUAGCACGUGUCCUCACCAUCUGUGAGAGAAUAGAAGACAGAAGUUUAUAAUUGUGAUAUCAAAAUCUCGCACGACAAGGAAAUCAAAUGAAGUGGAAUUUUCCUAACAGUUACAUAGCCUCUCAUAGAUAAGUACAGACGUCUCCGUACCGAUCCGCGAGACUCUAAUAAAUUGACUUGUGAUUCAUGACUACUAUGAAGCUAGAGCUCUGAUACCAACUUGUCACGACCCAAGUUUGCCCUCCGUGAACUGUCCUGACGGCACCUAGUCUCUACGACUAGGCAAGCCUAACAAUUUUGGAAAAAGAAACAAAAUGCGGAAAAACUAAUAAAAAUUGAUUAUAAGGAAAUAUAGAAUCGUUUAAGAUGUCGCUCGGCAUAUACUAAUACAAGAUCUCAAAAAUUGAACAACUCCCCAAAACCCAAAAUCUCAUGAAAUCACAAGCUGUUGGAUAACUUCAAGUGUCUAACUCUAGAAUGUCUAAACAAAAGUAAAUACAUAAGGGCUAAUACUGUAAGAGAGAAUGGAAAUGGACUCCUCGGUCUACGGACGCGGCAGAUAUACCUCGAAGUCUCUGGAGAAUCGCCUCACCUCAAGGGUAGUAGGGCUGAGUCGAAGUACCUAGAUCUGCACAUGAAAAACAUGCGCAGAAAGGGCAUGGAUACACCACAGCGGUACUUAGUAAGUGACAAGCCUAACCUCGGUCGAGUAGUGACGAGGAAGGUCAGGGCCCUACUAAUUAUAGCUGAAAAACGAGGUAAAACAGUAUAGAAUACGGUAAUAUAAUUAAAUGCUAAUAGUAUGAAGUAACACAAGAUAAUAAGAAUAACAACAACUAUAGUAGAGAUAAAAUAAUCACAGAAGAAAUACAGCUCAACACAUAGAUAACAACCGGGGAUCUCCCAGGAUACCUUCCAGUAGUCCCCAAAUGUAAAUAUCCAGUGGAUCUCCCAGGUUUCCUCCCAUAGUCUAGCUCAUAGUGCGCACGGAUCCACUGAAAUCCCGAUCCGUUGUCCCAAAUGUAAAUACACAGUACUGGGGGAAUCUACCGGGUGCAGUCCCGUAGUUCAAAUAUAAUGUGCAGGGGGAUCUACCGGAAUACAAAUCCAUAGUCCCUAAGUAAACAUGCAGGGGGGGAUCUCACGGGAUACCUUCUCAUAGUCCCAAAGUAAACAUGCGGGGGGAUAUCUCGGGAUACCUUCUCGUAGUCCCAAAGUAAACAGACAGCAGCAGCACGGAGAAUAUUCAGUUCAAUCCAAAUAUCAUACCAAGGUAAACAGGUAUUUCUAACCUAGCAUGUUGCACAUAAUUCAAAUAAAGAAAUUUGAGUAAGUAAAGUAAUUAAGUCAAUUAGACAUGCUUCCCUAAGCUAAUAGUAGGCUUAAAUUACAAGUAGUAUAAACAGGAAAGGAAACACAGUUAUAGUUACUUAAUGAAAACAAUAUUUUCAACAAUUAGCACAAGUACACACUCGUCACCUCACAUACAAGGCAUCUCAAAUAUCAACAAUAUCAAAUCCUAAGGGGAGUUCCCCCACACAAGGUGAGGCAAGCCACUUACCUCGAACCGGCUUAAAAAUAUACCCAAAUCCACGCUCUUGCCACGAGUACUCGACUCCAAAUGGCUCAAAUCUAUUCAUAUCAAUUGCAUAAUGUAAAUAUAACUUUUAGUAACUAAUUCCACUAAUUAAUUCGAAGCUAUCACUCAAAAUUAAGAAAAUCGCCCAAAAAGUCCCCCGGGCCCACAUCUCGAAAUCGGGUAAAAAUUACGGAUUAUGAAUCCUCAUUCACUCACGAGUCUAACCAUACCAAAAUUAUCCAAAUCUGAUGUCAAAUCCCCAAUCAAAACUCGAAAAUAGGUCUAAGAAAUUUUUCAAUUUUUUUCCCCAAUUUCUCACCCCAAAUCCGAAAUUAGAUGAUGAAUUCAUGUUUAGAUUAAUGGGUUAUAAGCAAAAAAGAGAUAAGAAUUAUUACCCGCAAACUCCCUCCAAAAUUCUCUCCAAAACUCGUCUUACAGAGCUCCCAAUUCAAUUUUGUGAUAUGAACUCAAAUCCCUCGAUUUUGAACUUUAUGUUCUGUCCAGACGCGUCCUUAAUCGCGAUCGCGGAAACUCCCACGUGAUCGCGAAGAGCAACUUUACUGACACCCAAAUUAACCCUACACAAAUGCGAUAAACACUACGCGAUCGCGAUGUUGCACUGCUCUGCUCUACGCGAUCGCGGUUGACGUUACGCAAUCGCGAAGAGCAAUCUUCCACUCCUCAGCUGCCUCACUUCUUCCUCUUCCCGAACGUGGUGCAGCCCACGCGUUAGCGAUUCAACUUCUGCCUUACUAUGCAUUCGCACUACCUUUCCCGUGAUCACGUAGAAUAAAAAUCCCCUCUGCCUCAUCUAAGCCUUCACGAUCGCAAGCUUCCUCAUGCGAUCGCAAUGAAGAAAAGUCUGCAACAAAUACCACCAAAAAUCUAAUCCUUCUCCAAGUCCAAAAAUAGUCCGUUGAGCUUCAGAAACACACCCGAGGCCUCCGGGACAUCAACCAAACCUGCCAACAAAUCUUAAAACAUCAUUCAAACUUUUUCCAACCUUCGAAACACUCAAAACAACAUCAAAACACCAAUUUAACAUCGGAUUCAAGCCUAAGAACUCUCAAAACUCUCAAAUUACGCUUUCGAUCAAAAAGUCUAUCAAACCUCUUCCGAAUUACUUGAAAUUUUGCAAGCGUAUCGCAUUCAACACUAUGGAGAUACUCCAACUUUCGGAAUUCCAUUUUGACCCCGAUAUCAACAUCUCACCAUCAAACCGGAAUCUUCAAAAAUUCAACUUUCGGCAUUUCAAGCCUAAAAAAGCUACGGACCUCCAAAACAAAAUCCGAACACGCCCCUAAGUCUGAAAUCACCCAACGGAGCUAACGAAACUGACAAAAUUCUAUUUUGAGGUCAUCUUCACACUACUCUGACUAUGGUCCAAAUUUCUUAAGCUUAAUCUCUCCUCUAGGGACUAAGUGUCGCAAAACACUCCGAAACUCAAAACAAAUCAUCUCGGAAAAUCACAACUUUAGAAACAAACAUGGGAAAAAUAGUUAAUAGGGGAUCAGGGCAUUAAUUCUUAAAAUGACUGACCGAGUCGUUACAACAUCAUAAAAAUAAGAUAUAUCAUUAGUAUAUAAAGUACGAGCCUUCUCCCAAACUAAAUAACAUAUCUAGAAUGGACAAAACAAAGGAUUAUAUUGGAACCAAUCGAUCACCAUUUGGCUUCUUAUCUAGCAAAGAUAGGUUUCAGAUCAGGCCAUACACUUUGGUAUAGUACAUAUUCUGAUAAAUAACUCCAAAUACACCUUCAAAGGGUUAACUAUUAAUCGGAAUUGGUGGAACUCCAUUUCAACUCACAUUUUCUAAGCUUACAUAUAUUUCUAGUAUCCUUAUCGCUGUCAUACCUUCUUUUUACCACCCGAGGUGGGAAUAUGAGGGAGUUUUUUCAAUUAAAGUGAUAUAAUUCGUAAUGGGAUUAUUUUAUUUAAAUUCAGAGUCACCACUUGGGAUAAUUUAUGGUGUCCCAAGUCACCGGUUUAUUUAAAUCCCAAAUCGAGGAAAUUUUCGACUUUAUUUAAAAGUCUGCGAACCAGAAAUUCUAAGUAAGGAAUUCUGUAAACCGGGAGAAGGAGUUAGGCAUUCCCAAGUUCUGUGAUUCUACCACAAUCGCUUUAACUAUUAUUAAAUGGCCUAAUUAUUAGAUUUAUUACAUGUUUUAAACCUAUUGGGCAUUUUUAACUUUAUAACUUCUUUUAAUUAUUUUAAACUGCUUUUAGGAUUUAUGGAAUUAUUUUUUGAACAAGUUACGAUUGUCGUACACUUGCCAUUUUGGAACACACCGUAAAUUACGCUACAUGAAAUGCUCCCGCGAUUCGCAAUAUGUUUAUUUUUAUUAAUGUUCGAAGUUAUUACGAUCGGGUCACUUGAAAUGCACACCCAAAUUUGGGAAUUAUGUAUCAUAACUACAUCACGGGAGCCAUACCCGUAGCUAUGAUAAUUUUAUUAUAAACGCGCCUAAAGCAAACUACGAAUUGUUCAAAGUGUUUUCUACACUAGUCAUGAAUGUUCCAAGUAUUUUUUUCACACUAGUUUGGGUAUUGAUGUGAGGACUAUAGAUUAUAGGAUUCAUUUGAGAAUGACACGCCUCAAUUUGUUUCAAAAGAUUGCACUCAACUUAAAGCAAACUACGGAUGUUCAUAAUUUUUUCUUUCUAAGCUACUUCAAGAUUAUUGUAAGGAUAAGUAGUUAUGAAUAAAAAAAUAUUGUGAAUCAUCUGCAAUGUCAUACUAUAACAGAACUCAAAUGACAAUAAAUUUAAUGUUCGACAGCCACUGAAAGCAGCUUUAAGGCACUUUGAUAGUAAGAACACAAUUUGGAACUUGUACAAAUAUUUGCUCGAUGUGGAAAAGGGGAAGAAAGACCAGUACACUGGCUUAAAUCUGCAAAUUUUCUACAACAUUUUAGAUGAAACCUCUUUAUUUCUCAUUCCUUUUUCAUAACUUCCUUUUUCUGGUAGUUCUGAAAUUAGAAGCAAAACCAUAUCUUAACAAUUUUAUGCAGUGUAUAGCCAGAAUAUAAAACGUGACAUUGUCUCUUCCAAAUCAGUAAUUUUAGCUAGUUCAUAAAAAAAACCAAACAAACCAGAACAACACCAUUUUAGCUCAAAAUUCCAGCAACCAAUCCUACUACAACAAGAGCUUAAUAGUGCUCAAAAUAAAUUUAUACUUGCACCCAGAUUUGUGCAUUGGUUCAACACAUAAAAGUAAUUCAAAGCAAAGUCAAAUCUACAAUCAAUCAUUGGAGAACAUUCUCAAACACAUGAAUAAACUACUAUAACUUUAUAACAAUAUAACAUGCUAAAUCAGUGCGUACAUGACUUAAAAGACGAGUUCAUACCUUGGCAGUAGCGAAAGGAGCAUAAAUAAUUAGCGACGAAUCAACAAAAUCAGCGACAAAAAUUAAGCAAAUCCACAGCUCCAAAAGGGCUGUUAGAUACCCAGAACGAAAAGAAAUCGAGCUUUGAAAUCAAUUCUUCUUCAAAUCUCCAUUGAAAAUUCAAGUUUUCUUUCCAUUUUAGCUUCUAAUUUUCUGAUUUGGGAUGCCAUUUUCGAAUCUAAAAAAAUUAUUUAUUUUAUUUUUUAAGAAGAAGAAGAAGUCGUUUAUGUGUGUGUGUGUGUGUGUGUCCCUUUUCAAUUUUUGAGAGAGGAUUUCUCAAAAAUCUUAAGGGGAAGGUGUUGGUUUCAGAAUGGGAGGGGAUCUGAUGUAUUUUUGUCUAGUCGAAUGAGAAGAAAGGAGACAGAGAGAGAAUAUGUGUGUGGCAUUGUCAUGGAGUCAAGAUGGAGCGUUCAUUUCCUUAGUUCCUCUCUUGCGCCGCUACUGAAGGGAAAAUUAGGAAGGUCUUCUAAUGUUAGGUCUAGAGAUGGAAAAAAUCUGAUCCCCUUUUUUAGGUCUUUUAAUGUGUGUUUUAAUGGAGAGGGAAGGGUUUACUG